rnacentral:rRNA from 1 species
CACGUAGGGGGCAAGCGUUGUCCGGAUUUAUUGGGCGUAAAGAGCUCGUAGGCGGCUCAGUAAGUCGGGUGUGAAAACUCGGGGCUCAACCCCGAGACGCCACCCGAUACUGCUGUGGCUAGAGUCCGGUAGGGGAGCGUGGAAUUCCUGGUGUAGCGGUGAAAUGCGCAGAUAUCAGGAGGAACACCAGCGGCGAAGGCGGCGCUCUGGGCCGGAACUGACGCUGAGGAGCGAAAGCGUGGGGAGCAAA